AGUGAACGCUGGCGGUAGGCCUAACACAUGCAAGUCGAACGGCAGCACCGUAAGAGCUUGCUCUUACGGGUGGCGAGUGGCGAACGGGUGAGGAAUACAUCGGAAUCUACUUUUUCGUGGGGGAUAACGUAGGGAAACUUACGCUAAUACCGCAUACGACCUACGGGUGAAAGCAGGGGAUCUUCUGACCUUGCGCGAUUGAAUGAGCCGAUGUCGGAUUGGCUAGUUGGCGGGGUAAAUGCCCACCAAGGCGACGAUCCGUAGCUGGUCUGAGAGGAUGAUAGGCCACACUGGAACUGAGACACGGUCCAGACUCCUACGGGAGGCAGCAGUGGGGAAUAUUAGACAAUGGGCGGGAGCCUGAUACAGCCAUACCGCGUGGGUGAAGAAGGCCUUCGGGUUGUAAAGCCCUUUUGUUGGGAAAGAAAAGCAGCAGGUUAAUACGCCGCUGUUCUGACGGUAACCAAAGAAUAAGCACCGGCUAACUUCGUG
rnacentral:rRNA from 1 species